CACAAUCAUCUCCAGGUUAUAGCCCAUCAUCCCCUGGAUACAGCCCCUCAUCCCCUGGUUACAGCCCCACUUCUCCAGGUUACAGCCCUACAUCCCCUGGUUACAGCCCCACUUCCCCUGGUUAUAGUCCAACUUCUCCUACUUAUAGUCCCAGUUCUCCUGGAUAUAGCCCAACUAGUCCUGCUUAUUCUCCAACUAGUCCUUCAUACUCACCCACUUCUCCCAGCUACAGCCCCACAUCUCCCAGUUAUAGCCCAACAUCUCCAAGUUAUAGUCCUACUUCUCCCAGUUAUAGUCCGACCUCUCCGAGUUAUAGCCCCACCUCCCCAGCAUACAGCCCGACCUCCCCAGCAUACAGCCCGACCUCCCCAUCUUAUAGCCCCACAUCACCUUCUUACAGCCCUACCUCACCUUCUUAUAGCCCUACCUCACCUUCUUAUAGCCCAACCUCACCCUCUUACAGUCCAACCUCUCCAUCAUACAGUCCCACAUCACCUGCAUAUAGUCCAACUUCUCCGGGUUACAGCCCCACCUCCCCAAGUUAUAGCCCUACCUCACCGAGCUAUAGUCCCACGUCUCCUAGCUACAAUCCCUCGGCAAGGUACAGCCCUUCACUUGCAUACUCCCCAACUAGUCCGAAGCUGUCACCUUCAAGCCCAUACAGUCCUUC
rnacentral:lncRNA from 1 species